rfam:Otolemur garnettii contig161728, whole genome shotgun sequence.
UGCUGUGAGGGUGACCAGGUUUCAACAUCUGUCUGCCCUUUGAUUGCCAAGGUUGAUUAGGCUGAUCUGACUGGCCAGAUGGGUGUCCCCUUCCUCUCUCACCAUUCCACGAGCUCCUCACCAGAAGCUGCAUGCUCAGUGAAGAGGAAGACCUUUCCCAAUAGACUGGACCUUUCUUUGGUCAAGGGUGUAGCAACAGCAGCACUUUCCUGGUAAAACUUCCAAACAAGCAUUCAAAGUAAUGUGAGCAAAAGUGACAUGUUUUCACUAUUGGGCCAAAGU